rnacentral:rRNA from 1 species
AGUGAACGCUGGCGGUAGGCCUAACACAUGCAAGUCGAACGGCAGCACAGUAAGAGCUUGCUCUUACGGGUGGCGAGUGGCGGACGGGUGAGGAAUACAUCGGAAUCUACUUUUUCGUGGGGGAUAACGUAGGGAAACUUACGCUAAUACCGCAUACGACCUACGGGUGAAAGCAGGGGAUCUUCUGACCUUGCGCGAUUGAAUGAGCCGAUGUCGGAUUAGCUAGUUGGCGGGGUAAAGGCCCACCAAGGCGACGAUCCGUAGCUGGUCUGAGAGGAUGAUCAGCCACACUGGAACUGAGACACGGUCCAGAUUCCUACGGGAGGCAGCAGUGGGGAAUAUUGGACAAUGGGCGCAAGCCUGAUCCAGCCAUACCGCGUGGGUGAAGAAGGCCUUCGGGUUGUAAAGCCCUUUUGUUGGGAAAGAAAAGCAGCAGGUUAAUACCCCGCUGUUCUGACGGUACCCAAAGAAUAAGCACCGGCUAACUUCGUG